CCGUAGGUGAACCUGCGGAGGGAUCAUUAUCGAGUUAUUCAACUCCCAAACCCUAUGUGAACUUACCACUUGUUGCUUCGGCGCGCGUUUCGGCGCCGCCGAGGACACUUAAACUCUUUGUUUUUAUAAGCAUUUCUGAGUGGCCGAAAGGCAAAAAUACAAAUGAAUCAAAACUUUCAACAACGGAUCUCUUGGUUCUGGCAUCGAUGAAGAACGCAGCGAAAUGCGAUAAGUAAUGUGAAUUGCAGAAUUCAGUGAAUCAUCGAAUCUUUGAACGCACAUUGCGCCCGCCAGCAUUCUGGCGGGCAUGCCUGUUCGAGCGUCAUUUCAACCCUCGAGCCCGACUCUUUUGAGGACGGCUCGGCGUUGGGGGACGGCAGACUCCCCCCGGCAUCUCGCCGGGGACGCCGCCCCCGAAAUCUAGUGGCGGCCCUCCGAGGCGACCUCUGCGUAGUAACUUGUUCUCGCACCGGAAAGCUCAGAGCGGCCACGCCG
rnacentral:rRNA from 1 species